rnacentral:sRNA from 1 species
GACCGCCCCUUCUCGGGGCCAAGGCCACACGGACAGCCGGGUCGAAUGCCGA